UAGAUGUUCUGAUAUCUUAAUGAACGAUUCUUUUAUAUAGUCUCCAUCAGUGAACGGCUUCCCGUGCCAUCCCAUGUGUAACCGUGUUGAAAUUAUAUCUGUAUUUUAAUGUUUGAAAUAUCACCAAAUCCUGAUAAACAUUGUUUUCUAUAUGUUUAAAAUGUGUUUUAUUGCCUAUAUUUAUGCCAGAACAUUGUAUUCAUAUUUAAGUGUUAAUACCUGUACCGUCACUUUAAGAGGUCGCAGGCUUGGCGCCGUCUUCCCGGUGCUUCUCUCAGUUCGCGCCAGACUAGCUGAGAGGAGACAAAUCCACCAUCCUGCCUUCAUUAAAAAGAGCAACCUGCAGCUGGUCGUGGUCCGGGUCCUUCCUUCAGCCAACACAAUACGGAACACAACGCAGAAUACAUAAGGGUCAGUAGCGGUUUCUCAUAUGGGCGAAUUGGGCAGCCGUCUACUUUGCUGGGGGCGGCAUGUGAGGACCUCCGCCCCGCCCACCACAAAAAAAAAAAAAAAAACUAUAUAUAUAUAUAAAAUACUUAAAUAAUUAAUUAGUAAUUG